rnacentral:lncRNA from 1 species
UUGCCAUUAGUGGUUUUAAUGUCGUUGUAGUACUACGUCCCUAAAUUCUUCCGCCAUCUCUGAAUGAGAGUUCCAAGGCUCCCCAAAGUGCUCAUUUUGCUACGAGUAGCUAAUGUUGUUCUUUGUUGCUCAUAACAGAUGCACUAUGUAUUUUUGACUUUUCUGACUAAUACUACAGUAAUUGUUUUUCUGGAGAGUUCUGUGGUCCUAUCUUCGUGCCGCCCGUGGAGUGAUGAAGCUCCUCUUUAUCCCAGUUCNCCCAGAGUGGGCAGCGCUGAGUUGGAGGCAGCACCGGGCGGUGGGGAAACAAAGAAGGAGCGAGUCAGAUAUGCAAGAUUUAUUUUUAGAGGUUUUUUUUUCCCCGCCUUAAUCCCAACAUUCUUCAACUAAUUUGGAAAUCUUUCUUCUCUGCUGUAAGUUUUUCUGGAGAGUUCUGUGGUCCUAUCUUCGUGCCGCCCGUGGAGUGAUGAAGCUCCUCUUUAUCCCAGUUCACCGGAGGCAGCAGAACGAAGGGAAGGUUCUCUGGAACCCGGUGUGUACGCAACAAGGGAGCAGAGAGAGGCGAAAACCUGCCAUGACAAAAAUGUAAAGUUUUGUACUGGAAUGUGUCUCCUUUCCUUCGGAGAGGAGGUCGGAGUGUAACAGCCACGCCAGGAGCUGCUUCGGAAAAUGGGGCUGCAUACGUUAUGAGAGCAGCUGCACAGAUCUUUUUUUUUGAAAAACCCGGCUAAUAAAGCAAACAGCACAGCUGGUUGUUUUUAAAUU